rnacentral:rRNA from 1 species
AUUGAACGCUGGCGGCAGGCUUAACACAUGCAAGUCGAACGAGCGGCGGACGGGUGAGUAAUGUCUGGGAAACUGCCUGAUGGAGGGGGAUAACUACUGUAAACGGUGGCUAAUACCGCAUACCAUCAGAUGUGCCCACAUGUGAUUAGCUAGUCGGUGGGGGAAUGGCUCACCUAGGAGACGAUCCCUAGCUGGUCUGAGAGGAUGACCAGACAAACUGGAACUGAGACACGGUCCAGAAUCCUACGGGAGGCAGCAGUGGGGAAUAUUGCACAAUGGGCGAAAGCCUGAUGCAGCCAGGCCGCGUGUGUGAAGAAGGCUUUCGGGUUGUAAAGCACUUUCAGCGAGGAGGCGUUACUCGCAGAAGAAGCACAGGCUAACUCCGUGCCAGCAGCCGCGGUAAUUC